ensembl:snRNA U6 U6 spliceosomal RNA
GUGCUUGUUUCAGCAGCACAUGUACUAAAAUUGAAAUGAUUCAAAAAAUGCAGACAUGGUCCCUGCACAAAGGAUGACAUGCAAAUUUGUGAAACAUUCUAUUGUUUU